ensembl:lncRNA
CGUAUGAGCAGGCCUGCCCUUCUUUGUUGGCUAAAUCGACCAUCAACAAGGAACAGAUGGAUCUGCCAUUUUCCUGAUAAAGCAUCGCUGCUGCUGCUGCUGCUAAGUCACUUCAGUCGUGUCCGACUCUGUGCGACCCCAUAGACGGCAGCCCACCAGGCUCCCCCGUCCCUGGGAUUCUCCAGGCAAGAACACUGGAGUGGGUUGCCAUUUCCUUCUCCAAUGCACGAAAGUGAAAAGUGAAAGUGAAGUCGCUCAGUCGUGUCUGACUCUUAGCGACCCCAUGGACUGCAGCCCACCAGACUCCUCCGUCCAUGGGAUUUUCCAGGCAAGAGUACUGGAGUGGGGUGCCACUGUCUUCUCCGAAAGCAUCACUGCUGUCUCUCGUUCUUACGAAGCAACGUGGUUGUUUUAAGAAGAAGAGAGAAACGAUUCUAGCUUUAGCUGUGGGAACGUUCCUGCUUGCUGGCCUGACUCGACCAUUGGCUGGUCUGGGGUAAAAGUACAAAGCUUGGACGUGCAGGUCUGAAUGAAACGUCUUGGGCCGCUGCAAGUUCUGGGGUGGAGACCAAUGGCAGCAGCUCUAGCUGACCUCUGGCUCACGACCAGGUGUUUCUUUCUCCAUCCUCAGCUUUGUCUCCCACCCGAGAGGCCUCAUCUGCACAGCUGCCAGGAGCUGUCCACAGGAUUCCAUGUGUAUGAAUAUGCCAUCGACACGGCAGAAGAGGAAAGCCGCGGAGUGGUACCAGCUCCCACAGCAGCAUUCUCUGGUCCUUGCUGGACGUUGGUUACCAGCACAUCCCAAGGGGAGAACCAUGAAUCCAGAAAUUCAGAGAGGAAAGCACUGUGGUCAGUUGUGCUAGCUACCCACUGCGGACCUCAGGGAAGCCUUCUCAGAGGUGUUUCAGAUCCAGCGGGAAAGUCCAAAAAUUGCCAGGGCUGACUUGCCACAACAGCCUAAACCUGUGUCUACACCACAAAGCUGUCAUGAAAGACUUAUGUAUCUGGGAAUCCCCAACCUGUGGUUAGAAUCAGAAAGUGGUGGGUGUCUCCCCUCCUGGUGUGGCUUGGCAGACUGCCCGUGUCCUCCUGCCUGACCUGCCCCCGUGUGUGGCCCAGAUUCUACUCCCCACAGAGACGCAUCCAGUUUCUACGGGUCUGGAGUGCAAGAUGGCAUCCAGGGCUCCAAGGCCGCUGCCACGCCCAAGUUGUUAUGAUGGUUUCCAUUUUGAAAGAUGCUCUGGGCAGCAGCGGCCCCCUGAAAGCCCUUACUGUCUUCCCUGUAGUAGUUCUCCAUCUUUCAUUCUUGGUU